GAUGAACGCUAGCGACAGGCUUAACACAUGCAAGUCGAGGGGCAGCAACACUUUCGGGUGGUUGGCAACCGGCGCACGGGUGAGUAACACGUAUGCAACCUACCUACUACUAGAGGAUAGCCCGUUGAAAGACGGAUUAAUACUUUAUGACACAGGGGUUCCGCAUGGCAAUAGUUGUUAAAGAUUUAUUGGUAGUAGAUGGGCAUGGGCAGGAUUAGCUAAUUGGUGGAGGUAACGGCUCACCAAGGCAACGAUCCUUAGGGGUUCUGAGAGGAAGGUCCCCCACACUGGUACUGAGACACGGACCAGACUCCUACGGGAGGCAGCAGUGAGGAAUAUUGGUCAAUGGACGAGAGUCUGAACCAGCCAAGUCGCGUGAAGGAAGACGGUAUUAUGUAUUGUAAACUUCUUUUAUAGGGGAAUAAAAUGCGGCACGUGUGCUGUUUUGUAUGUACCCUAUGAAUAAGCAUCGGCUAACUCCGUGCCAGCCGCCGCCGUAA
rnacentral:rRNA from 1 species